AGCAGCAGCAGCAGUAGUAGCAGUAGCAGCAUCAGCAGCAUCAGUAGUAGUAGCAGUAGUAGUAGCAGUAGUAGUUGAAGUACUAGUAGUAGUAGUAGUAGUAGUAGUAGUAGUAGUAGUAGUAGUAGUAGUAGUAGUAGUAGUAGUAGAAGUAGAAGUAGCAGCAGUAGUAGUGGUAGAAGUAGUAGUAGUAGUAACAGCAGCAGCAGCAGUAGUAGUAGUAGUCGCUGCAGCAGGAGUUGUAAUAGUAGCAGCAGCAGCAGUAGCAGUAGUAGUAGUAGCAGCAGCAGCAGGAGUAGUAGCAGCAGCAGCAGUAGCAGCAGCAGUAGCAGUAGUAGUAGUAGUUGAAGCAGUAGUAGUAGUUGAAGUAGUAGUAGUAGUAGUAGUAGUAGCAGUAGUAGCAGCAGUAGUAGUAGUAGUAGUAGUAGUAGUAGUAGUAGUAGUAGUAGUAGUAGUAGUAGAUGUAGUAGUAGUAGUAGUAGUAGUAGUAGAAGUAGAAGUAGUAGUAGUAGUAGUAGUAGCAGUAGUAGUAGUAGUAGUAGUAGUAGUAGGUAGUUGUUGUUGUUGUUGUGGCUGUUGUAAUAGUAGUAGUAGUUUUGCAGAAGUAGUAGUAGUAGUAGUAGUAGUACUAGUAGUAGAAGUAAUAGUAGUAACUUUCAAAGCAAUGUCUACAAGUUUAAAUUCCUUAACCCUGUUCAAGGUGUAUACACACUCAAUAUUUAACUACAGUCCAGGUUUGCAAUUAACAAACUAUCUGAAAAGCCUGUGUGUGAGUCAGAUGUGUCUGCGGCUAAUCUAUUGGUUAUAAAAUAUCACAGCCUUUUCUGAUUGGCUGAGUUCAAAUACAGAAAGUUUACCUGUUAGAUUGAAAUUCUGGAGAAGGCGUAUUGAAGAAAAAAUGCAGGUUAAACUUGUUGUUAAAAUGAAGUUAAUGUAAUUUCACAAACAGUAGAGUUUAACUUAAUGAGUUUUUCCAUUAACAAGAAUUUCUUAAAAUAAUAAUGUAUGGAUAUCAUUUGGAAAGUGACAUGAAUUGUUGUUAAAAAGUGAUGCAUACAAGUGUUUGAGCAGUCUGUCUAGGAAUAGAACAACAACUGAAGGUUUGUGCUUUUCAUUAUUUCUAAAUAUUCCUUUAAAUUUAUUCUUCUUAUGUCAUCAUUGUAGACCUUUUUAUGUGACAUUUUAGGUAAAAGUAUGGCAAAUAUAUAGAAGUUUAAAAGCAGCUGUCACACACAUUUUCACUAAGUGCAGUUUGCAGCUUGAUAAAGGAAGUCCUAUGUGGAGAUAUUAAUAAGCUUGUAUGUAGUAUCGGAAGUUUAUAAUGCAUGGCUAGGGAACUGAGGCUAAGGGAGUUAUGUGCUGUGCAUGAUGAGAACUCAAUGCUCAUUAAUGCUGUUAAUGUUUAUAAAUAAAUUAAUUAAACCAAUAGCAUUGUUUUUUAGGUUUCACUGUACAUUUUCAUACCAAUAGAAUUACACAUCAUUCUAAUUAUAGCAAUAAUAAAUUUGUACUAAUCAUACCUACAAAUUUUGUUAUGCUAUGCUUUGUGAUGUAUUAACUUCAUUGUAAGUUAUUAUUUAAAGACAAUUUUACUAAAUAUUUAAAACAAUACUUGAAUUAUUUUCUAUAUACAUUUUCAUUAUGUGCUUUAACUGUAGCUGACCAGUUGAUGGAAGAUACUGCAGAGUUUGGCAGUGAAAUAACCCAAGACAGCAAAGCAGCUCUUUUGGUGCAUUUACCAAGAGGACUAACAUGGCCACAAAUUCAUGAGAUCAUGCAGGAGCCGUACAGUAUAACAGCAGUACAAGUUCUAUAAAAGAUCCACGACCUACUGAAGCCCAGCUAAUUAACAAAAAAGUUUUUAAAAACUGAAAUUUUAUCCCACCUGGGUACUUAUAAUUUACUAAGCUGCCUUCACAAGUUUUAGACUUGCAAUUAUAUUUUAAACUGUCACUUGGAAAGUAAUACAUGUACAUGCAUUCAUGUUCUGAAUUUCUUUGAACAAUAAAAUUAUAUAAAAGUAUUUUAAUGAAAUUGAGCACCUAAAUUGCAUUAAAGUGAAAGUAGCUGAGAAAAAUAGUAUCCUUAAUUGUUCUCAUGGGCAGCUACAUAUAUUGUGACAAACAUGAAGUAGCUAAAAUAACUUAAAUUUUUCAUUUUGUUUCUUGUAUAUCGUUUGUACAGGGUUCAUGAAUUGUUACUGUAUAUUACUUGACUUGCUUGUAUUUUGUUACUUUGAAUACAGGUUGUUAAGGUUGCAUUAUACUUUUUAACUUUUAAAGUAGCGCCUGUUCUGUUAUGUAAGGGCCUGAUUUAUGAUAAUGGACCUAGAGGCUUUGUAAGCAUGUAUUAAACAACACUUGUUUGAUCUGAACAAUUUGUUAAAUAAAUGUAACACAAUUUGUAAUCUGAUGUUAUAUUUUGAUGAAUUGUGAACAAAAUAAUACAUCGAAGAAACUAA